rnacentral:rRNA from 1 species
GGGCGGUACAAGCGUUAAUCGGAAUUACUGGGCGUAAAGCGCGCGUAGGCGGUUAAGUAAGUUGGAUGUGAGAGCCCUGGGCUCAACCUAGGAACUGCAUUCAAAACUACUUAACUAGAGUACGAGAGAGGAGAGUAGAAUUUCUGGUGUAGCGGUGAAAUGCGUAGAUAUCAGAUGGAAUACCAAUGGCGAAGGCAGCUCUCUGGAUCGUCACUGACGCUAAGGUGCGAAAGCGUGGGUAGCAAACAGGAUUAGAUACCCUGGUAGUCCACGCCGUAAACGAUGAGAACUAGCCGUUGGGGAGAAUUAACUCUUAGUGGCACAGCUAACGCAUUAAGUUCUCCGCCUGGGGAGUACGGCCGCAAGGCUAAAACUCAAAUGAAUUGACGGGGGCCCGCACAAGCGGUGGAGCAUGUGGUUUAAUUCGAUGCAACGCGAAGAACCUUACCUACCCUUGAAAUCCAGCGAAGUUCCUAGAGAUAGGAAUGUGCCUUCGGGAACGCUGUGACAGGUGCUGCAUGGCUGUCGUCAGCUCGUGUCGUGAGAUGUUGGGUUAAGUCCCGUAACGAGCGCAACCCUUAUCCUUAGUUGCCAGCAUAAUGGUGGGGACUCUAAGGAGACUGCCGGUGAUAAACCG